GCCGGGGUAGCUCAGCUGGUAGAGCAGCGGAAUCAUAAUCCGCGUGUCAGGGGUUCGAGUCCCUUCCCCGGUA
rnacentral:tRNA from 1 species